rnacentral:rRNA from 1 species
ACCGGCGCACGGGUGAGUAACACGUAUCCAACCUGCCGAUAACUCGGGGAUAGCCUUUCGAAAGAAAGAUUAAUAUCCGAUAGCAUAUCAAGAUCGCAUGAUCUUGAUAUUAAAGAAUUUCGGUUAUCGAUGGGGAUGCGUUCCAUUAGUUAGUUGGCGGGGUAACGGCCCACCAAGACGACGAUGGAUAGGGGUUCUGAGAGGAAGGUCCCCCACAUUGGAACUGAGACACGGUCCAAACUCCUACGGGAGGCAGCAGUGAGGAAUAUUGGUCAAUGGACGAGAGUCUGAGCCAGCCAAGUAGCGUGAAGGAUGACUGCCCUAUGGGUUGUAAACUUCUUUUAUAUGGGAAUAAAACAGGGUAUGCAUACCCUCUUGUAUGUACCAUAUGAAUAAGGAUCGGCUAACUCCGUGCCAGCAGCCGCGGUAAUACGGAGGAUCCGAGCGUUAUCCGGAUUUAUUGGGUUUAAAGGGAGCGUAGGUGGAUUGUUAAGUCAGUUGUGAAAGUUUGCGGCUCAACCGUAAAAUUGCAGUUGAAACUGGCAGUCUUGAGUACAGUAGAGGUGGGCGGAAUUCGUGGUGUAGCGGUGAAAUGCUUAGAUAUCACGAAGAACUCCGAUUGCGAAGGCAGCUCACUGGACUGCAACUGACACUGAUGCUCGAAAGUGUGGGUAUCAAACAGGAUUAGAUACCCUGGUAGUCCACACAGUAAACGAUGAAUACUC